CUAGGACUUCCUUUUCAGUGCACCGUGUACUUUCGCGCCGUGUUGACCGAUGGCACGUGUUCGUAUCGAUCGCGCACCACGCUCCCCUAAUUCAGCGUACAAAAUGCGUAUCGAGUGUCGCGUAACAGCCACCGUAUGGGGCCAGGGAACUCUAAGUAAAUUUCUCGGUAAUUUCGUUAGACGUGAUUUCGUUGGCUACCAGCGACCUGCCGUUCCACAGCUUUCUGAAUUAUACAUUUUCCUCGUCCCGCUUUUAUAAAGUUGUUAGAAUUCGGGGCUUGUGAGAGUAACCAGUGUCUCAUAGGAAUUAUACCAACUAACUAGACUGUGCAAGCCUAAAAUUAUCGAACCUCCUUUAAAUUGAGAUUCAAACACCUGUCAUUAAAUAUAGACAACGCAGACAACACAAUGGAUGAAUAAAUAUGAAAUAACAUUGCCCCGUCCUGAAACAACAAACGACGAAACGCAGCGACGCAUUAUUCUACGAUGGCUAUUACGCUGUCCAAGCAGCGAGCGAUGUAGCAGCUUCAAUUGCCGAAAGGAACGCGCGACCGCAUCGCAACAGGAGGAGGAACAGGCAGGAGAACGUAAUUGAAUCCCAGAGCUCGAACGUGGAAGCGCGGUAGCUUACAAACAGCGAUUACGUAAAGCUGCCAUUGUGAGGCUUACUGCCGCUUUAUCGUGUACACCGUCUCAAAACUACGUUAUUUGAUCGAUCGUCAGACAUUUUGAUACAUUGUAGCGAAACCCGUACAUGGUUGAUACGUGUGUCGAGUAUUAACAUACGUUAUCGUGACCAAUAUUCGCAACUACUGUUCAUAUUUCUUGCGUACGGCGAAAGAAGCGGGAAAACUUGGAAAAAUCUCGCGUUUAAUCCGAUAUACCUUCCCGCGAAUGGAUUACCAUAAGCCAGAAGAGUAGCUGUUUAACCGUAUCUUACGACUUUACUCUCGUAUUAAUUAUAAGAGACGCUGAAUAUGGAACUGGAGACGGAGUGUUAUUAGCUGUGCGCUCGGAGCCAUAAGUAAGCAAGUCGACGCGUUUAUUUCCCCUUGUAAAUUAUACCCACGCGGUGAAAACUGCAAUUAUUUCUUCGAUCUCCUGUGUGUUGCUCGCGAUGAGAAUAACGAAAAGGAAAAAGAAGAGGAAAAAGAAUCACCCGAGGCGACACCGGUUCUUUCUUCCCAUUCGCCAAUCCCCCUGUUGUUUCACGAUCCUUUCUUUUUCCUAUUCUUUGACAAUUUGUUUACGCGAAAAAUGUCCGAAGUUGCCUGAUUCGAUGGGGCAGGUUUGCGCUUCCUCGUUAAGACGGCCAAGGAUCAAAUUGCACAGGGGGGGAAAAAUGAAAUCUGGGAAACCGUUUGGUAACACGAGGCGAAACACAUGUUGCGUCUCGUGUCGCCGCACUACGCCACCUACAGACUUUCUCCUUUAGCACCGCCAUUCUCAUUUUUCCGCUAUUAGAUAUUUUUCUCAUCCAGUGGAGGCUACACACGGUACGCGUUCACAAGCACGUAGACUCGCGCCAGGGGCUAGUUCGAAGUUUCCUUCUCACCGUUCUCUCCCAUCGCUACAUUUGACGCUUUUACGCGUUUCUCGUUGGUGGCUGCUCGGUUUUUUUUUUUAUAACACAGGGGUCGCGUCUGGAGUAAAAACCGUUUGCACUGACAGUUUCUCGAGAACGGGUAUUAGCAUCUUUGUGUCGCUGUCAGUUCCUCGAUCGUUUUUGCUUUCGCGUACGUCCGACGCACGAAAACUUCCCAACAUCCUGUUUUUCUUGCAACGUUUCAACUCGCUUAUCGCCUGCUUCGUCACUGUCGAUAAAACAUCUCGACGUCUUGCCAUCAAGGGACGAAGAAUUAAUCGGUGUUGAUAACAAAGCCUUUUAAAUCAACUUUUCACUAACUCGUGGUAUUCCAAUUGAAAGACGCUAUCGUUCUUCGUGCCUUACCCUUCGUACCAACCUUGACGAAGGAUUGACAGAAAAUGUACGACCCGAGGAAAUCCGAAAAAUCGUUUCUCUUUAUCUCGUUCCAAGAAAUACCUACUCCUAUAAACAACUUCCCUAAAAUAACAUUCACAGCCUUCCUCGGCGAAGUUCCUUCGAGUCGAGACGGGAAUGGGAAUGCGAAGAAUGCAUGGUGUAGCGUGCUCGAAACGAAACUUCGUGCACGCGAGAUAUAUUCGCGUCAAGUAGACCAGUGUUCGAACGUGUCGCGGAUUCGCGAGAAUUUCUCUUGUGACCUGGUUGGUCGACGAUCGUUUCCCGAUAGCAACGCAUCGACAAGGAAGCGUAGGGUCCUCCAUUGUCUCCGGCUGUUCGAGGCGUGCAGAAUCUGUGCCAGGAGUGCAUGCUAUGCGCGCAUUGUGCCAAAUGACGUCACCCUUGCGAAACUCGUUUGCGCAGACAAUCGUUCGCCCUGUACAUGCUACCAUCGGACAAUGACAUUCGAUCGGCAGCGUCUAGUCAGUCGAUCGCUGCCCACCUAGCGCCCAAGAAUGCUAAACACACCUAGCCGAGUUUCCGCGAGGGACGCGCAUAUGAUCAAUGAGUCACGGCGUAGCUGUCGAAGCGUAUUAAUAGGCUGGUUCGACGCUGGUUGAGCGGAGAAUGAGGAAAGGAAAGAGUGACACAGAAGCUUUCACUUCGAACUCGUUGGAUCGGAUAGACCACGUUAGUCUAUUUCGUAAAAAGGUGCAAAAGAAAAGUUCCUUGCGGCUAAAAGUAUCGUCCGUUGGGUCUUAAUUGAUAGUUAUGUAGGCAAUCCGGUUUGUUUAUGCUAUGAUUGAGUGAAAUUGAGAUGAAUAAAAUUAACGUAAUAAAGAUUCAUUAACUUUCGAAGCUAAUUUUUAUCUUUCCCGAAGAGUUUUGUAAACGUUUGAUUAAAAAAUCGAUCCUGUAAUAUAGCAGAGGCGUUCAAAAAUAUUCACAAUUUUUUCAAAUUAUUUUCGGACCUAUAUGCUUGCAAUGUUUAUUAUUUUGACUAAUUAUCGCUUGUUGUUAUUAUCGUUUGGUAAUUCUUAUUUAUACAUACCCUGAGUAGAGCUCAGAGAUUGGUAUUUUUGUUAAUAUGUGAUGAUAGGUGUAAACGUCGAUACACUUGGAACUCCGUGUCGAACAUACACUAAGCUUUCGCUUCUUCGGGAGUUUAAGCGCUCUUACGAUCGGCCAAUUAGACCGACAAGGAAAAAGGACUCGCCCGUGAUAACUCAUGGUCCUUUUACAGAAGCGAUGUACUCGCGAAGGGCGGAGUAUUAUGUUUCUGAACCGUCGAACGCAUUGAGAUUUAUUACCGACGGGCCUGGUGAAAGUCGGCGUAUCGCGUGUCAUAAGCGCGGGAGGAUCUGGCUGUUGUAAUGGGAUCAAAUCCUCGACCACGCUCUCGCAGGUAUACGUACGUUCGAUUUCAAUGAUAUACCUCGUUCGUCUUCGUUACGCCUCUCGAUUUGGCAUUUUCUAGUUGCUGGAACACACGUAUCGUAAAGUGAAGGGUUGAGAUAGUGUUCCGUGAUAUAUAGAGUUUAAAUAGAAUUCGUUGCCGGCUCAUAGAUAGAAGUCAAUAGGAGACAUACGAGUAUAAAUGACAUAGGUG